GUUGUGUUAGUAUUUCCAUGGGUAGUGUUAUGAGCCUGGUGAUAGUUUGACAAGGCUUUGGUGGAGGUUGUUGUGUUAGUAUUUCCAUGGGUAGUGUUAUGAGCCUGGUGAUAGUUUGACAAGGCUUUGGUGGAGGUUGUUGUGUUAGUAUUUCCAUGGGUAGUGUUAUGAGCCUGGUGAUAGUUUGACAAGGCUUUGGUGGAGGUUGUUGUGUUAGUAUUUCCAUGGGUAGUGUUAUGAGCCUGGUGAUAGUUUGACAAGGCUUUGGUGGAGGUUGUUGUGUUAGUAUUUCCAUGGGUAGUGUUAUGAGCCUGGUGAUAGUUUGACAAGGCUUUGGUGGAGGUUGUUGUGUUAGUAUUUCCAUGGGUAGUGUUAUGAGCCUGGUGAUAGUUUGACAAGGCUUUGGUGGAGGUUGUUGUGUUAGUAUUUCCAUGGG